UACAGAAGUCUCAAGCGUUGUUCGGAUUCAUUGGGCGUAAAGGGUGCGUAGGCGGCGCGGUAAGUCGGGGUGUGAAAUCUCGGAGCUUAACUCCGAAACUGCAUUCGAUACUGCCGUGCUUGAGGACUGGAGAGGAGACUGGAAUUCAUGGUGUAGCAGUGAAAUGCGUAGAGAUCAUGAGGAAGACCAGUGGCGAAGGCGGGUCUCUGGACAGUUCCUGACACUGAGACACGAAGGCCAGGGGAGCAAACGGG
rnacentral:rRNA from 1 species